UACGGGGGGGGCAAGCGUUGUUCGGAAUUACUGGGCGUAAAGGGCUCGUAGGCGGCCUACUAAGUCAGACGUGAAAUCCCUCGGCUUAACCGGGGAACUGCGUCUGAUACUGGAUGGCUUGAGGUUGGGAGAGGGAUGCGGAAUUCCAGGUGUAGCGGUGAAAUGCGUAGAUAUCUGGAGGAACACCGGUGGCGAAGGCGGCAUCCUGGACCAAUUCUGACGCUGAGGAGCGAAAGCCAGGGGAGCAAACGGG
rnacentral:rRNA from 1 species